rnacentral:RNase_P_RNA from 1 species
GAAGUCGGCCGGGCAGUCGCUGGUUGUUGGGGUCACCCGCAACGGGAGGAAGGUCCGGGCUCCGCAGAGCAGGGUAGUGGCUAACAGCCAUCCACCGCGAGGUGAGGACCAGGGCCACAGAGACGAGCGUAUUCAGUUACGGUGAAACGCGGCAACCUCUACCCGGAGCAAUACCAAAUAGGCAUGCGCCGUGAGCGAGCAAUCGCUCACCCAAGGCGGCUCGUCGGAGCGUGCGGGUAGGUAGCUUGAGCCCAUCGGCAACGGUGGGCCUAGAGGAAUGACUGCUGCGCCACAACGGGUCACACCGGGUGGCGACAGAACCCGGCCUACAGGCCGACUUCAAUG